rnacentral:rRNA from 1 species
UACGUAGGGUGCGAGCGUUGUCCGGAAUUAUUGGGCGUAAAGAGCUCGUAGGCGGUUUGUCGCGUCGACUGUGAAAACCCGAGGCUUAACCUCGGGCCUGCAGUCGAUACGGGCAGACUAGAGUUCGGUAGGGGAGACUGGAAUUUCUGGUGUAGCGGUGAAAUGCGCAGAUAUCAGGAGGAACACCGGUGGCGAAGGCGGGUCUCUGGGCCGAUACUGACGCUGAGGAGCGAAAGCGUGGGGAGCGAACAGG